GAUGAACGCUGGCGGCGUGCCUAAUACAUGCAAGUCGAGCGAACGGACGAGAAGCUUGCUUUUCUGAUGUUAGCGGCGGACGGGUGAGUAACACGUGGAUAACCUACCUAUAAGACUGGGAUAACUUCGGGAAACCGGAGCUAAUACCGGAUAAUAUUUUGAACCGCAUGGUUCAAAAGUGAAAGACGGUCUUGCUGUCACUUAUAUAUGGAUCCGCGCUGCAUUAGCUAGUUGGUAAGGUAACGGCUUACCAAGGCAACGAUGCAUAGCCGACCUGAGAGGGUGAUCGGCCACACUGGAACUGAGACACGGUCCAGACUCCUACGGGAGGCAGCAGUAGGGAAUCUUCCGCAAUGGGCGAAAGCCUGACGGAGCAACGCCGCGUGAGUGAUGAAGGUCUUCGGAUCGUAAAACUCUGUUAUUAGGGAAGAACAUAUGUGUAAGUAACUGUGCACAUCUUGACGGUACCUAAUCAGAAAGCCACGGCUAACUACGUG
rnacentral:rRNA from 1 species